rnacentral:lncRNA from 1 species
AUGUUCCAUAACCCACCACUACUAAAAUACAUUCCAACUAAGCUUAUAAAGGAUACUCAAAAUCCGUGUAUCAAAACCCAAUUUAAAAUUUGGAAUAAAGUAAAAGUAGAGUAUCAGUUAAAUGAUAAAAUACAGAUAAUCCAAUGGUGUGCUUUUGACCCUGGUUUCAGGCCAAAUUUGACGGAUAAUCGUUUUAAAUCAUGGAUUUCCAAAGGUAUAACGACUUUCUUACUCACAGAAAAUGGAAAAUUAAGGGAUUUUGAGGGUCUGAAAAAGGAAUACCAUCUUGAAAACUCUGAUUUUUUACGAUACCUGCAAGUACGCAAUUAUUUUGAACAUAGUAUUAAACCUAAAACAGACCUUAAUGACCCAAUAUUAAAAACAAUUUUGGUUGCAUACAAAAAUGCUUCUGUUAAGGGGAUUAUUUCUAAGUUUUACAAAGGUAUCCUGGUGAAAAAUACCUACUCCACAGACUACAUAAAAGAAAAAUGGGAAAAGGAAAGCAACGUGCCAAUACCUACAGAUGACUGGUUAAAUAUAUGUGAGUGUCAAUGGAAAUGUACAAACUCUCAUACGUGGCGUGAGUUUAAUUGGAAAUGUCUCAUUCGUUUUUUUAUAACACCGAAGCAAAAAGCACAUUUUGACCCAGGUGGUGCUAAAUGCUGGAGGCUGUGUGGCGCUCGGGAGGCUGAUCACUGGCAUGUGUUUUGGGAAUGCCCAAAGAUUAAACCACUUUGGGCAGAAUUUCACAAGAUCUUAAAUACUAUACUCAACAAUAAAGUACCUUUACAGUUUUCCUCUCUUUUUUGGGGGAAUUGUGAGUUCUUGGCUAGAACUGCUGAUAAGUAUUUAUAUGCCAUUCUUACAUCUGCCUGCAAAAAAGCAUUUACAAGACGUUGGCUGCUUCCCGACCCUCCCACAGUCUCAGAAUGGAUAGAUAUUGUAAACGGGAUAUAUGUAAUGGAAGCAAUUACCUUUUCCAUUCGUCUAAAGAAAAGUAAAUUUGUUAGUCUUUGGUCCAAAUGGGUCAAAUAUGUAAAGCCCUUAAGAUUAGACUUUGUAGAGGUGCUGAAUUAA